UAGAUGCUGACGAGCGGCGGACGGGUGAGUAAUGCAUAGGAAUCUGCCCUGUAGUGGGGGAUAACCUGGGGAAACCCAGGCUAAUACCGCAUACGUCCUACGGGAGAAAGGGGGCUUCGGCUCCCGCUACGGGAUGAGCCUAUGUCGGAUUAGCUAGUUGGUGAGGUAACGGCUCACCAAGGCGACGAUCCGUAGCUGGUCUGAGAGGAUGAUCAGCCACAUCGGGACUGAGACACGGCCCGAACUCCUACGGGAGGCAGCAGUGGGGAAUAUUGGACAAUGGGGGGAACCCUGAUCCAGCCAUGCCGCGUGUGUGAAGAAGGCCUUCGGGUUGUAAAGCACUUUCAGCGAGGAAGAACGCCUAGUGGUUAAUACCCAUUAGGAAAGACAUCACUCGCAGAAGAAGCACCGGCUAACUCCGUGCCAGCAGCCGCGGUAAUACGGAGGGUGCAAGCGUUAAUCGGAAUUACUGGGCGUAAAGCGCGCGUAGGUGGCUUGAUAAGCCGGUUGUGAAAGCCCCGGGCUCAACCUGGGAACGGCAUCCGGAACUGUCAGGCUAGAGUGCAGGAGAGGAAGGUAGAAUUCCCGGUGUAGCGGUGAAAUGCGUAGAGAUCGGGAGGAAUACCAGUGGCGAAGGCGGCCUUCUGGACUGACACUGACACUGAGGUGCGAAAGCGUGGGUAGCAAACAGGAUUAGAUACCCUGGUAGUCCACGCCGUAAACGAUGUCGACCAGCCGUUGGGUGCCUAGAGCACUUUGUGGCGAAGUUAACGCGAUAAGUCGACCGCCUGGGGAGUACGGCCGCAAGGUUAAAACUCAAAUGAAUUGACGGGGGCCCGCACAAGCGGUGGAGCAUGUGGUUUAAUUCGAUGCAACGCGAAGAACCUUACCUACCCUUGACAUCUACAGAAGCCGGAAGAGAUUCUGGUGUGCCUUCGGGAACUGUAAGACAGGUGCUGCAUGGCUGUCGUCAGCUCGUGUUGUGAAAUGUUGGGUUAAGUCCCGUAACGAGCGCAACCCUUGUCCUUAUUUGCCAGCACGUAAUGG
rnacentral:rRNA from 1 species